CCUACGGGGGGCUGCAGUGGGGAAUAUUGGACAAUGGGGGGAACCCUGAUCCAGCCAUGCCGCGUGUGUGAAGAAGGCCCUCGGGUUGUAAAGCACUUUCAGUGAGGAAGAACGCCUGGUGGUUAAUACCCAUCAGGAAAGACAUCACUCACAGAAGAAGCACCGGCUAACUCCGUGCCAGCAGCCGCGGGAAUACGGAGGGUGCGAGCGUUAAUCGGAAUUACUGGGCGUAAAGCGCGCGUAGGUGGCUUGAUAAGCCGGUUGGGAAAGCCCCGGGCUCAACCUGGGAACGGCAUCCGGAACUGUCAAGCUAGAGUGCAGGAGAGGAAGGUAGAAUUCCCGGUGUAGCGGUGAAAUGCGUAGAGAUCGGGAGGAAUACCAGUGGCGAAGGCGGCCUUCUGGACUGACACUGACACUGAGGUGCGAAAGCGUGGGUAGCAAACAGGAUUAGAUACCCUAGUAGUC
rnacentral:rRNA from 1 species